ACUACAAUAUCCCCAUACUUAAUGGUUGGUAAUUCCUUAUUGGUUAAGAGUUUCGACUUAAGUAUGAUGUUGUGUUUGCAUAGUUCGGGAAACCGAACAGAGUAACUCAUUAGUUACUCAUUUCACUUCCUGUAUAUAUUUUAGACCUUUUUUGGUUAAGCACCGCUUCCUUAAGCGGUGUUUUUUUAU
rfam:Avibacterium paragallinarum strain CL AvpgCL_contig_22, whole genome shotgun sequence.